UACAGAGGGUGCAAGCGUUAAUCGGAAUUACUGGGCGUAAAGCGUGCGUAGGCGGACGAUUAAGUCAGUUGUGAAAACCCUGGGCUCAACCUAGGAAUUGCAACUGAAACUGAUAGUCUAGAGUAUGGUAGAGGAUGGCGGAAUUUCCGGUGUAGCGGUGAAAUGCGUAGAUAUCGGAAGGAACACCAGUGGCGAAGGCGGCUAUCUGGGCCGAUACUGACGCUGAGGCACGAAAGCAUGGGUAGCAAACAGG
rnacentral:rRNA from 1 species